AUGGAGAAGCACUGGAGUGCCUGCCUGGUUGUUUUGUGGCUGUACUUUCAGUGGGCUGCUGGCAAGACCCAAGUGGAGCAGAGUCCCCAGGCCCUGGCUGUCCUGCAGGGAGAGAACUGUAUCCUUCAAUGCAAUUACAAUGUGAGCCCUGCUAACAACUUAAGGUGGUACAGACAAGACACAGGCAGAAGUCUUGUGUCCCUGGCAGUCAUGACUCGAAAAGAGAACAGAAAGUCAAAUGGAAGAUACUCAGCAACUCUGAAUACAGAUACUCAGCACAGCACCCUGCACAUCAAAGCUACUCAGCUCGAGGAUACAGCCACCUACAUCUGUGUGGUGGGUGCACCAUGCUCCACAGACACUUGCAGCCAGCACCAAAACCUGCUCCUGGAGGCUUCAAGAUAG